UGCUGGGAUUAAAGGCAUGUGCCACCAAUGCCAGGCUUGGUUACCCAGUUUUCAUCUAUUAUUUUCCUUCACUUGAAGUGGAUUUAUGGAUAUUUUAAUUUUUAUUUCUGUCUCUCAUUAGAGAAUAUAAUAUUCACAAUAGUAGGAAUCUUUCUCAACUGCUAAUCACUGCAAACCUGGACCUUUCUCAGUGAAUGUUGUCUGGGGAUGAUUUGACAUAUUUAUUGAGUGCUGGGUUUGAGUACUAAUGUUGAAUGAAACAUGACUUAGGAUUGAGCUCCAGUGACACAAUCUGUUAGCACAUGGUACUUAUACAAAAAUAUUUUCAUGCACAUUUGUUCAUCUAAUUCACAAUGACCAAGUCUACCUAGUGACAAAAGAAGCCACCAAAUGUCAGUAAAUUAUUCCUUUAAAUCUCACAAUAUGAAAGAAAACAGUAUUAUAAACUGGCUACUGUGCGGAAUAAAAAUAAAACCUUUUAUAACUUUUGAAAUUUUAUUCAAAAAUAAUAAAGAAGAGAUUAAUGGCUAGUGUCCAGUAUAACUCCUGUGAGCUAGUAAUGGACGUUACUUAUAGGCAAAGGGAAUUUUAGGGCUACAAUCGAAGAGAGGUCCCUCCUUCUGCAACCACAGUGUUUCAGUAAUUGCUGAUAAAAGUGUGUCAGCAUUUUCAAUUAAAGAACUUAAUUCAGCUGUUAAAAUGUCCAUUAACCUAAUAUAUGGCUUAUAAUAUCUCAGCUUAACUGCUUAUAAAAACAGCUAAUCAAAAAUGGAUGGGAUUUGUAUAAAAUCAUGUAAAUACCACAAAGAAAUCAUCACUUCAAGUGUGAUCAUAUACAUAAAUAAAAGAAGGAACUUUUUCCAGUUUUUGAAUUUUCUAUUUGUAUGUAUUAUUUGUAAAGGACCUAAGAAGUUUGAGAGUAUCAUUAUUUUUUAAUAAGAACUAUGUUGCCAUGUGGAAGGGAAAUACCAAAACUAUUGUGGCAGACAAUCAGAAACUUCUCAGAUCCUUCAGUAAUAAACUUAUCCAAGGAGAUCAGAGUAUUGUUGGCAAGAUUGCAGGCUCUAAAUUUGCAUAUGCAUUUGUUUAGUUGCAGAGAACAUUAUGACAAGGCUCUGGCCUUUUCUGAAGAAGCUAUGGAUAUUCCUGAUGAAUGUAAAUAUAUAAAAGGCCCAUUUAUUUAUCUCAGCCCAACUUGAAGCCAUUUCUAGAUCCCCCAAGACACUGGCAGAGAUUUGGGGAACAGAUAUCUGGAAAUGUUCCAUGGCCUUGCAAUUGCUGCCUUAGUAAGGCUCAAUUGCAGACUGAGCCGAUUCUUGGAAAAUUCUCCAUGAUUAUCUGAAUAUGAGAAAAUAGGUAGUCUUCAGAGAAUAAAUUUCAAGUACAUAGUUUAGUCAUCUACUCAUCUUGAGAGGAGGUACUCAUCUUGUAUGACAGUGAAAUAGAAUAUUUCCCUAUUUAUCUCCAUAUGCACAUGUGUAUGUAUUUAUAACAAUAGUAAAGAAGAAGUAAUGUAAUUGAGAUGGAGGGGAGCAUGGCAAGAGUUGAACAGGGAGAGAAUAUAAUGUAAAUACAGUUAUUAAGUAUGAAACUCUUUCAAAAAGUAAAAGUUUAAGUAAAAAUUGGUAUUGGUCCUCCAUCAUAGGUCAGCUUUUCUCUUUGUCCACUUAUUCUUGCUGUUCUUUUCUCCCUUUGUGAGAGUCUGAAGGGAAUUCCUGAAUAAGUAUCAUAAACACUGAACUCCUUUGAGUCUGUUUUGUAGAGAACCUAACCUGUAAUAAUCUAUUCAGUAUUCCAAAGAAAGAAAAAUACUAGAAUAUUUCCUUUUUUUCUAUUUGGCUGCCAGGAGUUGUGUUUAUCACUAGCUAACAAAGCCCCAGAUUCAUUUCAUGAACAUUAUUUCUCUUUCAAAUAUAACAUGGUACAAUGAAUAAAGAGAUGGUAUCAAAAUCAUCCUUACCAAGUCAUUCUAUCUUCCCAAAACAACUCCAGAAGUCAGUCUGGUUUAAGGUAUUCUAUUUUACUAAAUUUGUAAAAAUAUCCCUAUAUAAUUUCCACUCAUUACCUUUAUGGUCCUUUUUUGAAUAAUGAUUAUUCAUUAAAUUUAUUUCUCAAAAAGCAGUCCUUUCAAUUGGCAUGCAUCCUUCUGUUUUCCUGCUACUACCUCUUUGUAUGCCACAGAAAAUACUGUCAUUUACAUAAACUCUUUAAAUUAUUUCCCUUUUCAAAAGUUCCAUUAAGCUUGAAGACCUAAGAAACAAUCUCUUACAACCACACUUUUUCUACUUGUGUGAUCAAAGCUCCAUGUGAGCUAGAUGGUUCCUUUAAUGUCAUUUUUUUUUUAAUUUGCACCAUCUCUACAUAGUACAAGAAAUAAUGGAGUUUUCUACAGGUAUCUAAUCAUAGAAGCUAAAAUCAGAUUAGAAAAAAGGACCAUUCUAUGAUGGCGUUUCUAAGGGCUUUCUAAUUUAACUAACUGAAUAUUUCGAAAGCACUUCUUCUUCUUUAAAAAUGUACUUAUUUAUCAUGUAUACAAUGCAGGCCAGAAGAGGGCAUCAGAUCCCAUUACAGAUGGUUGUGAGCUACCAUGUGUUGUCUGAGAAUUGAACUCAAGACCUCUGGAAGAAGUCCUGUGCUCGUAAACCCUGAGCCAUCUCUUCAGCCCCUGAAAGCACUUCUUAACAUGAUAAUCUAAAUAAGAACAAAACCAAUGCAGAAGAAUAAACCUUGAUGAAUAUAUACCAAUGCAGUACUUCAUAUAAGACACCACUAGAGAGAGUAGCCAAGCAGCCUCUCUUAUCAAUUUGCUCCUACGUUGACUUCAAUCAACAGAAACUGCAAGAGUGAAAUAUGCUGUCAUUUACCUUUGGCUUUUAACUCAAACCCUCAUCUUCUCAUUAUAGUCUUCAUCUUCUCAGGCAGAGUAUGAAGACAUUGGUAGCAUAACAAGGUUAUUUUAACAGAAUAUAACUAUGGGAAAAAAGAGUUCUGAUAGAUAAAAUAGUACUGAGAGUAAAAACAAAUUUAACUUUUUAAAUGACAAUCCCCAUUUUUUAAAUUUGCAUUGCACACAUCAAAAACUGCAUCAAAGAACUAUGAAGGAGAAUUCUUCAAGGAUCAUGAAAAAUGUAUACAGUUUCAAAGAUAAACAAUUUGAUUACAAAGCAUACAAAAUAUGAUUAAAAUAAACAGCUUUCCUUAGAUUCUGAGUAAGUAAAUAUUAUAGAAAAAGCCUAAAAUCUCAACAUUUCCCAAUUCUCUGGGAAAUGUCCCUAUCCUCAAAAGGCUGCUUAAACUGUUUUUUUUUUUUUUAUCUUUUUGGCAAUUCUAAUCUUCACAUGUAAUCUAUUGCCUGAACCAUGAAGCCAUCAUGUUUCUCAGGUUUAAAACAUCUCAAAAUGCUCAUAUCUAAUACACACAUUUAAAAAAUAACAGUUAAUCAUGUUCAUAAAACAUACACAAAGAUAUAUUAUUAAAACAUUAUCAGUGCCAUUGUUGAAACAUGUAAUACAAACUAAAUAUUGUAAAUUUAAAAGUCAAUGUAGUGAGAAUAAAGAUUGAUUAAAGAAAGUUAAAGCAAGGCAAUGAGUAGAAACAUUUAUCAAAAUACCUGGAAACUGGUAAGGGGGAAUGGAUGUUAUUCUUAUUUAUUAAUGUUAAUUGUCUUUAAAAGAGAUAACACAUAAAUCUCAUAUUUUAUUAGAUUAUAUGAGAAAACAAUGUUCAUUAUUUAUUUUUACAUUAUCUCUAAGAUUCUAUGUACUAAAGAGAAUUCUGUUCAUUAUUUUUUGUUAUUUUAGGAAGCAUGCGAGUGCCUCUGGUAUAAUUUAAGGGCAACAUUCCUCUUAUUCUUAAGGAGGGCUUGCUAGACAAUUAUUUUAACAACUAAGAAAUCAAGAAAACAGAAAGCAUAAGCAAGUACUAAUUACAUAACUAUUUAACAUUACUGUCAAAGGAGUUAUUUUACAAUACUUUAGCAUCUUUAUAUCUCAAAAUCUAUGUAUUUAUUUUAGAAGGAUUUUCCCCCUUCUAUGAUGCAUUAUUAUUUUGGUUUCAGAAUUUAUAUACAAUUGAUUGACUAA